rnacentral:tRNA from 1 species
CCUUCGAUAGCUCAGUUGGAAGAGCGUGAGACUGUAAUGGUUAACCCUGGUCAUCUCAAGGUCACUGGUUCGAUCCCGGUUCGAAGGA